UAACCUCCCUCUUCACCUCCCCAUAUUCAAUUUCAGUUCUUCUGUAACACUUCAAACUUUUUUCUACCAACCAUAUUGUUUAGGCCGUUCAAUUAAAACUCCCCAGAUGUAUUUCAUGGGUUAUAUAUAUAUGAUCAAUCAUUGUAACGAAUGGCAACCGACAUCAUCACCCCGUUCGAACAUGUAUUCUUCUCUCUCACUGAUUCGUUUUUUUUAUGAUUUCGCAGAAUCAUCAUAUUGAAAUUGAACUGGUGUACAAACCAGUAGCAGGUUCAUACAAGAUCAUUGAUGAGAUUUUGGUGAAGGAUGCUAAUAAUAAACGAAGGGUAUGAGUUGGACUGAUGAAAACUGAUAUUCAUGUUUAAGGGAAACUGAGACUGCUAAUGGAAAACGGAAGAAAAUGUAUAAACAGAUGGGUUCAUAUAACAGAUGUUAUUUUCAAUGGGAUUACACCCAGAUAAUAUCUUUCCAGUCCAUCUCCAGAGAUUUGAUUUGACUAACCUUUUUGGUGAUGAGGGCUUCUCCAUUUCGGCAGCACGCAUUCAACUUAAUUCAGAUGCCCCCUCCUUUAGGAACCAUGAUUAUCAUAUUCCCUAAACCAAUUUCUGCAGAUUGAAAUUGGUUUCAUAUCAUUGUUAGAUUUUAGAGUUUCUUCCAAGUUUCAUACUAAUUUGCACCAGCUCUUCCAACAUCUCCCAGAACCACCUACAAAACUUUCAAACAUACAACAGAGGAUGAAGAAGGCAAAUCCCUGGAUGACCCGCAUUCGAAUCUCAAAACUAGGACGAAUUAGAUUUCAUGGGGAUUAAUGAUGUCACCAGUUUGGAUGUGUUCAUGCUUGAUGACAAUGGCGAGAAACUACACGGGAUGGUACCAAAGAACCUAAUCCGGAAAUUUGAUCCUUGCUUCCCAUUGGCGACAUAUAUUUCCUACACUAUUCUUGGGGGAAAAGAAGAUAUUUUGCCCCGCUCGCAGUGACCACCGUCUCUUCUUCAAGUGGGAUACCGAGGUGAAGCCUCUGCGCUGCACUUCGGUUAAACAAGCUCAAUUUUACCCAGUAUGAAGAUUUAAAAUCGCGAUCUGCAAAUGCUUAUUUUAUGGGAAAUGAAUAGAGCCAAUGGUCAUUGCACGAUGCGGGACCUCACUCUUCAGAACCUAAGGAAAACACAAAGGAUAUUGUUGCAAGUUCAAACCAUCCAUUGUCGCACUACUAUAAGUUGUUGGGGGUACUGCAAUUUUUGAUUAUCAUGAGAUUUAAGUUGUUGAUAGAAGUACCACCCAAUUUUUGUGAUUUACAAUACUCAUAACUGACAUGACGAUCAAAGUUGUUGGACAGUACAAGUACAUCUGUAUGCAUUAACAGUUGCUAUGGGUCUUCACAAGUGUUGUGGGUUGUUGCCAUCCAAGUUAAGAUUUUUUUUAAAGGGAGGAGAUAAGGUUAAAAAAGGCCGGGAAACUGACGAAUGGAAUUAAGGGAAAAAUAUUACAAAUGCACAAGUUGUCGUGAAUCCAUAAUCGCAAUGCUCAAACCAAGGUGUAAAGCAAAUGAAAAAUUGUUUUCAUUUUUAUGAUACCUAGAUAUGGCAUGAUUCAAAUGGAUGUUUAUAGGCAAUAUCAACAACUGCGGCUUUAAAUACCAUUUGUACCAGGUUGAAUUGGGUCAGGAACAUGGAUUACAUGAUGAUCUUCAGCUCUCAAUUUUUUGUUUUUUGUUGAACUCCGGAUCAUUUGGAUUGAUAUUUGCGUCUUCCAAGAAAAUACAACUCAGGAACUCUUCUUGCGUGAUAUUCAGGUAUUAAGAAUGUGGAGAUUCAUGAUCACUUCCCUGUGAGUUUCCAUUCACAAGCCCUCGAUGAGAGUGAAGUUUAUGAAUUUUGCAGGAUUGAUACUCAUUUGGGGUCGAUGAGGCUCAUAACACUUGCUCACAUUAUGUUUAAAUUCCCAUGUGAAAGAGAAUUAAUACGGUUUCAAUCCAAGAGAAGAUUAGUUGGGAACUAGAUAAACUUCCCGAGAUUAUCCGAGUCCUAAGGAUUAUUGAUUUGCUACAUGAACUCUUCUAUGUAGGGUUCUCUUGAAUUUUAAGAAUUUUAGGGUUUAAGCACCUUGCCAGGUAAUCUUUACAAGCUUCUCAUUGUACUUAUAUAUACAAGAAAAUGACGAGUUUUUUAUUCAAAAUCUAAGGUAAGUUGAAAAAAAGUAAGUAUCAAGGUGUAAGAAGCUCAACAAUUGUUACAGACACACGAAUAUGUAAUAAUUUUGUGUUGUUAAUCUUAGUUGUGUUUUCAGUUA